rnacentral:lncRNA from 1 species
UCAGCGUCCCUCCCGGUGAUGUUCGCAGCGGUUGUCGGGCGCCAUCUAGCGGCAUCUUUUUUUUUUUUUUUUUUUUUUUUUUUUUUUGUCUUUUUAGGGCCACGCCCAGGGCACAUGGAGAUUCCCAGGCGAGGGGUUAAAUCGGAGCGGCCCUAGAAAAGGCAAAAAAAAAAGACAAAAAAAAAAAAUGAGUUAGAAAGUAUGACCUCUGCUUCUGUCUUCUGGAAGAGAUCAUAGAGAAUUGGUAUAAUUUCUUCCUUAUUUGUUUGGUAGAAGUGACCACUGAAUUCAUAUGGGUCUGGUGCUUUCUCUUUUGAAAGAUUAUUAAUUAUUGACUAAUUUUCCUUAAUAGGUAUAGGCCUUUUGGAUUGUUCUUCUUGUGUGCCCAAAAGUAGACAUGCAUAAAUAUAGUUAACUGAUCUUUGAUAAAUGGAGCAAAGGCAUAUAAGGGAGCAAAGACAGUGUUUUCUACAAAUAGUGCUGGGACAACUAGAUAUAUACAUACAAAACAAAUGAAUCCAGGCAUAGACCUUAUAGAAGUUACAAAAAUUAAUUCAUAAUGGAUUGUAGAUGUAUAUGAGAAAUGCAAAAUUAUAAGACUCCUAGAAGAUGACAUAGAAGAAAUUCUAGAUGACCUUAGGUUUGGCAAUAACUUUCUAGACUCAAGAUGAAGGGCACAGUCUAUGAAAGAAAAUAUUGAUAAGUUAGAGUUAAUUAAAAUAAGAAUGUGUGCUCUGCAAAAGACACCAUCAAAAGAAUGGGAAGACAAGCCACAGAAACCAGGAGAAGAUAUUUGCAAAAGACAUAUGAAAAGGAACAUCAUACAAAAUAUUUUUUAAAAGUCUUCAAAGUCAACAAUAUGACAAACAACCUGGCCAAAAAAUGGGCCCAAAACCUUAGUAGACAUCUCACUAAAUAAGAUAUACAGGUGGCAGUAGUUCCUGUUGUGGCUCAGUGGGUUAAGAAGCUGACAUAGUGUCCGUGAGGAUUCAGGUUUGAUCCCUGACCUCAAUCAGUGGUUUAAGAAUCUGGUGUGGCCACAAGCUGUGGCAUAGGUCGCACAUGCAGCUCAGAUCUGAUGUUGCUGUGGCUGUGGUAUAGGCAGGCAGCUGCAGCUCCAAUUUGACCCCUAGCUGAGGAACUUCCAUAUGCUGUAGGUGCAGCCAUAAAAAGAAAAAACAAAGAUAUGCAGAUGGCAAAUAAGCACAUGAAAAGUUGUUCAACAUUAUGUGUCAUUUGGGAAUUGCAAGUUAAAACAGCAAUGAGAUACCAGUAGAAUGGCCAAAAUCUAAAAUACUGACAACACCAAAUGCUGAUGAGUUGUGUAGCAAUAUGAACUCUCAUUUGAUUCCGGUGGGAAUGCAAAAUAACACAGCCACUUUGAAGAAAAGUUUGACAUUUUCUUAUAAAACUAUGCUCUUACUGUAAAACCCAGCAAUUGUGCUCCUUAGUUUAUCAAAAGGUGUUGAAAACUAUGUAUGCCAAAAACCUGCACAUAGAUGUGUACAGCAGCUUUAUUCAUAACUGCCAAAACUUAGAAGCAACUAAGUGUCCUUCAGUAGGUCAAUGGAUAAACAGAUACAUUCAGAUAAUAAAAUAUUAUUCAGUGCUGAAGAGAAAUGAACUAACAAGUCAUGAAAAGACAUGGAGGAAUCUUAAAUGCAUAUUACUAAGUGAAAGAAGCCAACCUGUGUGAGUCUUUGUGAGUCCAAAUAUACGACAUUCUGGAAAUGGCAAAACUAUGAAGAUGGUAAAAAUAUUAGUGGCUGCCAGAAGUUGGCGGAAAGAGAAGAAUAAAUAGGCAGAACACAGAGGAUUGUUAGGGCAGUGUCUUAAUAUUGGGGUCUGCUAUAACAGAAUACCAUUAACUGGGGUGGUUUAUAUCUGACAGAGACUGAUUCUCACAAUUCUAGAGGCUGGGAAGUUCAGGACCAAGGGGCUGACAGAUCUACUUUCUGGUAAGAGCCUACUUUCAGGUUCAAAGACAGCUGUCUUUUUGCUGGGUCCUCACAUGGCAGAGGAAGCCAAGGAUCUCUCUGGGGCUUCACUUUUAUAAGGACACCAAUCCCAUUGAUGAGAGUUCAACCAUUAUGACCUAAUCACCUCCCAAAGGCUUCACCUCCAAAUACCAUUGCAUUGGGCAUUAGGCUUUAACAUGUGACAUUUGGAGGGACACAACCAUUCAGUUCAGAGCAGGUAGAGAAACUAUUCUGUAUGAAUCUGUAAUGAUAGGUACAUGUAAUUAUACAUUUGUCAAAACCCAGAGACUGCCCCAAAAAAAGUGUGACCCCAAAUGUAAAGCAUGGGCUUUGGGUGAAAGUGUAUCAGUGAAGGUUCAUCUGUUGGAACAAAUGUUCUACUCUGCUCUGGAAUGUUUAUGGUUGGGAAGGCUGUGCAUGUAUGAGGCAAGGAGUAUAUAGGAAAUCUUGAUACUUUCUCUUCCAUUUUGCUAUGAACCUAAAACUGCAUAAAGUCCACUUUUUAAAAGUUAAAAUAAUAAUGUUUCAUGAUACGUAGAACACAAUUACUCUUUUGUUUACAUGUUGUCUCUGACUGCCUUCAUGUUACAAGGGCAAAGUUGAGUAGUUGCUACAAAGCCCACAAAGCCUCAAAUAUUUACUGUCUGACCCCUUAUAGAAAAGGCUCACAACCCCUGAUUCAUAAGAUAACUUGCUAAAAACUGACUUAGUUGUGUAGAAAAAUCAAGCUGCCUUCUUCUCUCCUACCAUAAGCCAAUCUGAAAUAAAAUGGACUUAGAUAUGAAGGAUAAAACUAAAAUAUUAUAGAAAUGCAGAAUAUUUGUGAUCUAGGGGUAGAAAAAGACUUAAUGGUUGGAAAAGCACAAGAUAUAAGGAUUAGUAUUCUUCAAUUUAGUUUCAUAAGAUCUAAAUCAAGAAAUUCCAUCUGAGGAAGAAUACCAUGGACAAAGUUAAGAGGUAGUGAAGACUAGAAGAAAAUAUUAUAAUGUCCAAAACUGGCAAGGAAAUGUCUAGAAUGUACACAAACUAAUUGCACACCAACAAAAAUUGGAAAGGAUGUCAACAAUAAGUAAAUAAAAGAUACCAAUUUUCCCCUAUUUUUUUUUCCACAUAAACUUCACUGUUAAUAUUGUUCUUGUCUGCUUAUCCCAGGAAAUUGUUGCAUUUUUACUAUUAGCUUGUCUUUUAUUUUCAUAAAAUAAAUUCCCUUUAACAUGGUAAAUCAGUGAACAUUUUUUUUAUUUGGUCAUGCCGGCGGCAUGUAGAAUUUCCUGGGCCAGAGAUCGAACCUGUGCCACAGCAGCAAUCUCUGCUGCUGCAGUGACAAUGCCAGAUCCUUAACCUCUUGUGCCACAAGGGAACUCAAAGUCAGUGAAACUUUUAAAUGAAGGCAACCUGCUAGAGAAAUUCAAGAAAAAGGCUUGUAAAUUUAAACUUCCAUAUCUUAGUACAUUAGUAAGGAAAUAUUCUUCUAUUUGGUUAAUGGUCAUCACAAAUUUGAAUCGGGGUACAAAACUUUUGUGCUAUCAUAUGCAGAACAGAACAUAGACAUUUAAAAAAAAAAAAACAAAGCAUAGCACAAAACAAUGAAUGUUACCACCCGGUGAGAAGUGAACUAGGAUCUUUACCAUAAACAAAUGACUUUUUAAAAGCGAAAAACCUAAUGCCUAUUAUGAAUUAAUUUACUAAUUUAGAAUGGUUAUAUUUAGUGCCUAGAAACUAUAAUUCAUAUUUUAGUGUGUGUGAUAUGCACAACUGCCAACUGUCUGAUCCCAACUACCCUCCAUUCUCAUACUCCUCCCCUUUUCCACCUCCCCAGUUCCCUCAAACACUCGGGUUAAAUAUUUCCCAGAACCUUGCCACUUAAAGAGUGGCGAAUGGACCAACAGUAUUAGCAACACCUUCUAGUUAAAAAUUCAAACCCUCUGGAGUUUGCUUCAUGGCUCAGCGGUUACGAACCUGAUUAGCGUCCAUGAGGAUGAGGGUUUGAUCCCUGGCCUUGCUCGGUGGGUUAAGGAUCUGGUGCUGCCAUGAGCUGUGGUAUAGGUCACAGAUGCGGCUCAGAUCCUGCAUUGCUGUGGUGUAGGCCGGCAGCUGCAGCUCCGAUUCGACCCCUAGCCUGGGAAUGUCCAUAUGCCGAAUGUGCGGCCCUAAAAAGACCAAAAAAAAAAAAAAAACGCAAUUAUUCAGGUCCUAUUCCAAACCUACUAAAUCAGAGUCUACUUCCAUAAGAUCCCCUGGAGUUCUAUUUGCAUGUUAAAAUUUGAGAUACUUGGAGCUGCCAUUUGCAACUAUUUCUCCCUCUGCAGUGUUUUCUAAGAACUUAAUCACUGUUAACUUUUUAAAAUAAUUUUAUGCCUUUCAAUUAUGCACACAUCACCAGCGACAGCUAUUUACAUAUCUCUUCCACCUUGUGAAACUGUUUAUAGAUUGUUACUGAAGUGAAACUGUUAACAGAAACUUCUCCAAGUUGGUCAUGUCUUAGUGGUGUAGCAGUGUGGGGAGAAUAAAGGUUUAGGACUAAGUAGAAAUCUCGGACCUACUACAUAUUCCGCGCGUGAUCUCAGAGAAGUAACUUAAACCUCUAUGAAAUCAUUUCAAUUAGGGAGAUGAUGGUACACAGAGUGCAGAGCAUUUGGUAAGAUAACAUGUAAAUCAACCUUGGCACCUAGUAGGGCUCAGGAUUACUUCUGGCCCCUUUGAAGCACAGGGCUGUUGUACUUGAAGAUGCUCUUAAUAAAUGCAAAGUUAAUAAUGGAUUUUCCUUUUAACUACCCACUGGUAAGUUAUAAUAGAAUUGCCCUGGCUUAAGAAAAUACUUAUAAUGAGAAGUCUGCUGAUACAAAAAAAAUAUAUACCAGUUUACUAUCCCCUUCUAAAGGGACUGUGGUCCCUAGUGGAGUCCUAGCAUUUUGAAGUUAAAGGUUAUCUCUUCAUGGUGCCUUUUCUUUGAAUGAAAAGGCUUACAAUUCUUUAGCAUAAAAAUUAUAUUUACACAUACUAUAUGUAUAACUAGUAUCUAUAUGUAUGUAUUCCUCAUAUUUAUAAAUAUAAUAUUUCUUAUACUUCUUCCAACACUCUCCAAUCAAGUCACAGUUACCGCUUUCAUUAAAGUCCACAUCCUUCCCCCCAAGAACAGUGCUGUAACAUUUCCUCCCCAUUUCUUCUAAAAAGCAACUACACUGCUGUUGCACCUACCUGCAAGGAUGGUGACUACACAAACCUGAUCUCCCAAGCCUGAAUGUACCCAGUGGGCACAUCUGACGAAACUGCCUCUAAAAUAAGGCAUUUUUGCAUAAUAGCCUACUGGAAAUGACUUUACGGAGUGUAAAAUAAAAAAGUGUUGCCUGUCAUUUCAGUUCUACAAGGAUCAAGCUAUUAGCCACUGCAAUUGCCCAUGGAUGGUUCACUCCUUGGGGAAUUCAGGAUGGAGAAAAACAGAAGGCAUUCUGAACCAUCUUCAGGAAGGCAUAUAUCUGCAUGAAGGCACACACACAGUUCAGAUACACAUCUAAGGAAAAAUUUUCAUUGACCCCAGAUUCUUCCCAUUCAUAGAAAAACACUAAAAUCAUUAACUUGAGAUGCCUGUUCUUUGCCAUUAGUAGUAAUUUUUGGAUGUUCCAGCACAUGUUUUCUUUCUCAACCAAA